rnacentral:rRNA from 1 species
CGUAGGACGCAAGCGUUAUCCGGAGUUACUGGGCGUAAAGCGCGGGCAGGCGGCUCGAUGCGUCUGAUGUGAAAUCUCCUCGCUCAACGGGGAGAGACCAUUGGAAACGGUCGAGCUGGAGGGCAGUAGAGGCAGGCGGAAUUCCGGGUGGAGUGGUGAAAUGCGUAGAGAUCCGGAGGAACACCAGAGGCGAAGGCGGCCUGCUGGGCUGCACCUGACGCUGAGCCGCGAAAGCCAGGGGAGCGAACGGGAUUAGAAACCCCGGUAGUCCUGGCCGUAAACGAUGUGUGCUGGAUGAUGGCCCGAACGGGUCGUUGUCGAAGCUAACGCGAUAAGCACACCGCCUGGGGAGUACGGCCGCAAGGCUA